UUAACUAUUGAAUAGUACUCGGACGACACGCACUCAUGUUAGGGUUUGGGGUCCUUUGGCGGGCGCGCACCAGCGGUGAGCCGGCGGCCGGGACGGACGGCCCGCCAAAGCAACAACAGGUAAAGUAGACAGGGUGGGAGAUCUACCCCGGAGGGCAUGAACUCGGUAAUGAUCCUUCCGCAGGUUCACCUACGGAAA
rnacentral:misc_RNA from 1 species